UCUCUCUGAAUCUGCGAACGGCUCCGCAAACCAGUUGUAAACUAUAGCAAGCAAUCCUGUGGCUGGGUUUCGGCCUGGUCAUGGGUAAAAUGGAUAACCAUGGUAAUUCUGAGGCUAAUACAAGAACGUACUCCCUGGCUGACCGGCAACGGAAGGCUGGGGAGCGUGCAACGUAUCGUAAGACAAACCGGGAAUGGGUGCACGCUUGGACCGCGCAAAAAACAGAUCUUGGCGAGCCUUCGGGUGAGCCUUGGCCUGAGCGGCUCUUGCUGUGUGCUUCUGACCUAUCAACUAGAUGGCAGCGUAACGGACAUGCUAUGGUUACAACGGGUACAGAGGAUUAGGGUUCGAUCCUGGAGAGUGGGCCUGAGAGAUU
rnacentral:rRNA from 1 species